CGGGUAAAAAAAAAAAGAGAGCCGCGUAUUUCCCUAUUCUUUUUUCCCCAACACGUUCCUCCUCUGCAAAUUACUCUUCAAAGACAAAGGUCACCUUUUCCCAUGAAACCCUUCCUCUCUUGGUUGUCAAACUUCGUCUCCAACAUCUGGUAAAUGAUAAUCAUGGCAUCUCAAAAUGAUGAGAAUCUACCCGCUUCUUCAUCUAACGCUAUUUCCUUAGAGGCUGAGAGUCCGGGGCCUUCACAACUUAAUGAAGUUAUUGAACUGAAAAAAAAGGAAGAGAUACUCUAAAGCACGGAAUCAUUUCAAGUUGGUGUCCUUUGAUGGUGUUCUGUAUGGUGAAUGGUGCCUCGUGCUAUAUUGCCAUUGACCCGAAGUUCCUACGUGCUUGGUGGUGCAAACUGCAAAGAAAUAUGUUGCAUGUUUUAAUUUAAGUAGUUGCAUUUGCAGGAAUGGCUUUUCUAAUAGUUACUGCCAAAUAUGAACGUGCAAGAGAAGUUGCUUUAUUAAUUUAUAAGUUUUGACUUCGUAAUGUUUUUCUUUCUUUUGAUUUUUCUAGGAAUUGUUGUUUUGCAGAUUAUCUUAAGUUAAAUCUUAGCAGAGAGACCUUAAAGCUGA